ensembl:lincRNA
GGUGGAGCCAGCCCGGGCCUCCGCUGACAGCCGUACCUGUGACUCUGAUCACCAGAAUUCGCCCGCAAGACCAGCUUUCCGGGGCCCCAGGCUAGGAAGCCCGAGUUUCUGGAACCAUAGAAGGGGAAUCUCCAAGAUAAUGAGGACAGCUGUGAAGGAUAUCUGGAAACAACAAACAGUCACAUCUCCUUAAAUGGAUCCACUUUCCGAUCUUUGAAAAUACUUUAGAGCCUCCAGUUAAAGUGUAAACUUCCCAUCUAAGUGAAGAUGAAGAUCUUGUCAUUUCUAACACUUGUGUAAAAAGAGAGGUUAUUCAAACUCAACCAUGGAAACCCUAAUGGAAGGCAGAAGUUGGUACCAGGAGUGGCUCUGGAGAAACAGAAGUGUGAGGAUGAGUCUUUUACAUAUCUGGAAUGGGCUUCAUAAUUUGUCAUCACCUGCCAAUUCACCAGUACCUUCAACUACUGAGACCUCUCCAGACACACUCUCCUGGGAGCUCGGAGAAUAAUGAAGGCCCAUGGUGGACACUAUAUUCCAAACUUGAAGAAGUAAACGCCUUUGGUUAUCUUGACCCAUCAAUUGUGACUGGCAAUGGAUUAGCUGGCCUGGUAUAGGAAACUUGCUACACCUUGGUGGGAAGUAAGGAAAAUGAUUUUGCUGGCUCAUUGCUCUUAGCAUCUCUGGGUAAAUUGAUAAAGGAAAGGAACGAACUUCAUGACAAAAUUGAAUGGCUCCAGAUGCAAAUCAACAAUCUAAAGGUUUCUAAGUGUGCCCUUGAAGAGAAUCUUCCCUCCAGCAGCCAUAGAGCUCAAGUUACAGAAAACCAAACCAAAGCCCUCAUUAUAAGGUUGCCUGAACUACAGCAAACAUUCAAGACUCAGCCUCAGAGGGUGUCAGCAGUUAAAGUAAGGACGUUAAUUGGCAAAGAAAGGGAUCCUGUAACUUGGGAUGGGGAUGUGUGAGAGGAGCCUAUUGAAGCUGAGAACUUAGAAUCCUCAAGUUCUUAAGGAUUCCCCUCACCUGAGGAAGUAGUACCCUCAGCCCCACCCCUUGAAAUAUUGCCCUUUCACCUGAGGAAAUUAAUCCUUCAUUGUCUGAUUAACAAGCAGUGGUUUUUCUCUGAAGAAAAUACCAGGCAAGACAAUACCGAUGUUCCUCAAGGCUCACCAAUGGUUGCCUCUAGACCAAUCACCAGACUCAAGGCAAAGCAGGCCCCUAGAGGGGAGGUAGAAAGUGUAGUCCAUGAGGAAAUACUCUAUGCUACUAAGGAGCUUAAUGAGUUUGCUAAUUUGUUCAAGCAGAAGUCUGGGGAACAUGUGUGGGAAUGGAUUUUAAGGAUGUGGGAUAAUGGUGGAAAGAACAUAAAACUAGAUCAGGCUGAGUUUAUUGACCUGGACCCUCUGAGUGGAGAUUCUAGGUUUAAUAUGGAAGCUUGCACAGUUCAAAAAUGUGUCAGAAGUUUGUUUGAAUGGUUGGCUGAAGCAUUUAUCAAAAGAUGGCCUACUAAAAAGGAGUUGGAGAUGCCUGAUAUUCCCUGGUUUAGUGUUGACGAAGGGAUUUUAAGGCUCAGGGAAAUUGCAGUGCUAGAUUGGAUACACUGUGUAAAACCUAACCCUCCACAAUGGGAAGACCCAGAAGAUAUGCCCUUCACCGAUCCUAUAAGAAGCAAACUGGUGAGAUGGGCACCAGCACAUAUGAAGAGUUUUGUUCUUGCUCUUUUCCUUGUGCCAGACCUUAAGGCUAGAGCUGCUGCUGCUCAACUGGAUGAAUUAAAUGCAAUGAGUUUAAUUGGACCCAAGGUAGCAGGGUAAUCGAAGUUAUUAUAAUGGGCAGUAUAGACAAAACUAUGUUCGUAAUCACCUAACUCAUAAUGGUCAGCACAGGUGAGGUGAAUUUUAUACUGGCAUGACUUGUAUGGACCUUUGGUACUGAUUAAUCAGACAUGGUAUUUCCAAGCACCAAAUAGAUAGGAAACCUACUGCAUAUCUGUUUGAUGUGUAUAAACAGAAAAACUCUCAAACAAAUUUUUUAAAAGGCUACAUUAGAUCGUGGUAAAAGUCAGUCUCAGCCAGUGAAUCAAUUUCUAGACUUGAGCCAGUUUGCAAACCCAGAACCCCUUGAAGGAAAGGGUGGCCUGGUUGCCCUGAGGAAGGAUUUUGAUAAGACAACUAAAAGUUUUGCUCUUAGCCUGUCUCCAGUGUUUCCUCAGAGGGACCUAUGGCCUUUUACAAGGGUAACUGUACACUGGGGGAAAGGGAAUAACCAGACUUUCUGGGGUCUGCUGGAUACUGGCUCUGAAUUGACACUGAUUCCAGGAGAUCCCAAGAAACAUGGUGGUCCUCCAGUUAAAGUAGGGGCUUAUGGAGGCCAGGUGAUUAAUGAAGUUUUGGCUGAUGUCCAACUUACAGUACAUCCAGUUGGUCCUCAAACUCAUCCCGUGGUCAUUUCCCCAGUUGCAGAAUGGAUAAUUAAGAUAGAUAUACUUAGGAGUUGGCAAGAUUCUCACAUUGGUUCCCUGACCUGUGGAAUGAGGGCUAUUAGGGUUGGAAAGCCUAAAUGGAAGCCUUUACAGCUACCUCUGCCAAAGAAAAUAGUGAACCAAAAGCAGUACUGUAUUCUUGGAGGAACUGCAGAAAUUAUUAGUGCCACCAUCAAGGACUCGAAGGAUUUGGGGAUGGUGGUUCCCACCACAUCUCCCAUUAAAUCUCCUAUCUGGCCAGUGCAAACGACAGAUAGAUCAUGGAGAAUGUCAAGUUGACUAUCAAAAACUAAGGUAGUAACUCCAAUUGCAACUGCUGUACCAGAUGUAGUUUCCUUACUUGAGCAAAUUAGUGUCUCCUGGUCUACAGAGCAGGUUUAAGGCCAGCACUGAGAACCCAUUCCUAAUGGAUACUUUAAAAAAUAUAACCAAGAGUUAUCUGGCAAUAUUUAUCCCCAGGUAGUUUAAUUAUUUCAAUUUCAUCUCUUAUUCAGUAAUAUUGUGAACUUGUUUCAAGUCCACAAUUGAUUUUUAUAAAUUAUCUCUAUGCUUU